AUUGAACGCUGGCGGCAAGCCUAACACAUGCAAGUCGAACGAGUGGCGGACGGGUGAGUAAUGUCUGUGAAACUGCCUGAUGGCGGGGGAUAACUACUGGAAACGGUAGCUAAUACCGCAUACCAUCUGAUGUUCCCAGAUGGGAUUCGCUAGUAGGUUGGGUAAAGGCUCACCUAGGCGACGAUCCCUAGCUGGUCGGAGAGGAUGACCGGCCACACUGGAACUGAGACACGGUCCAGACUCCUACGGGAGGCAGCAGUGGGGAAUAGUGCACAAUGGGCGCAAGCCUGAUGGAGCCAGGCCGCGUGUAUGAAGAAGGCCUUCGGGUUGUAAAGUACUUUCAGCGGGGAGGCGUUACCCGCAGAAGAAGCACCGGCUAACUCCGUGCCAGCAGCCGCGGUAAUUC
rnacentral:rRNA from 1 species